AGUGAACGCUGGCGGUAGGCCUAACACAUGCAAGUCGAACGGCAGCACAGUAAGAGCUUGCUCUUACGGGUGGCGAGUGGCGGACGGGUGAGGAAUACAUCGGAAUCUACUUUUUCGUGGGGGAUUACGUAGGGAAACUUACGCUAAUACCGCAUACGACCUACGGGUGAAAGCAGGAGAUCUUCGGACCUUGCGCGAUUGAAUGAGCCGAUGUCGGAUUAGCUAGUUGGCGGGGUAAAGGCCCACCAAGGCGACGAUCCGUAGCUGGUCUGAGAGGAUGAUCAGCCACACUGGAACUGAGACACGGUCCAGACUCCUACGGGAGGCAGCAGUGGGGAAUAUUGGACAAUGGGCGCAAGCCUGAUCCAGCCACACCGCGUGAGUGAAGAAGGCCUUCGGGUUGUAAAGCCCUUUUGUUGGGAAAGAAAAGCAGCAGGUUAAUACCCCGCUGUUCUGACGGUACCUAAAGAAUAAGCACCGGCUAACUUCGUG
rnacentral:rRNA from 1 species